CAAUAGCGUAUAUUAAAGUUGUUGCAGUUAAAAAGCUCGUAGUUGGAUUUGUGGCGUACGGUGUGUUCCGGGCACUUGUUGUCUGAGUAACCUGCUGUUGCCAUCCUUGGGUGGAACCUGUGUGGCAUUAGGUUGUCGUGCAGGGGAUGCCCAUCAUUUACUGUGAAAAAAUUAGAGUGUUCAAAGCAGGCUUAUGCCGUUGAAUAUAUUAGCAUGGAAUAAUGAGAUAGGACUUUUUUGCUAUUUUGUUGGUUUGCGCAAAGAGGUAAUGAUUAAUAGGGACAGUUGGGGGUAUUCGUAUUCCAUUGUCAGAGGUGAAAUUCUUGGAUUUUUAGAAGACGAACUACUGCGAAAGCAUUUACCAAGGAUGUUUUCAUUAA
rnacentral:rRNA from 1 species